CCUACUUGAUCCUGCAAGUAGUCAAAUGCUUGUUGCAAAGGUUAAGCCAUGUAUAUCUAAGUUUGAACUAAUUUAGAUUAUGAAACUAUAAAUGGCUCAUUAAAUUAGUUAUAAUUUUUUUUAUGGUAUCUAUUACUUGGAUAGCCAUAGUAAUUCUAGAGCUAAUAUGUGCAAUAAACCCCUACUUCUGGAAGGGAUGCAUUUAUUAGAUAAAAUAUCAACACAGGCUUUACUCAUUGCUCUCAUGAUUCAUGAUAACUUGAUGGAUUGCAUGGCCUUUGUGCCAGCAAUGCAUCAUUCAAAUUUCUGCCCUAUCAACUUUCGAUGGUAGGAUAGUGGCCUACUAUGGUGGUGAUGAGUGACAAAGAAUUAGGGUCAAUUCUAGAGAAAGAGCUUGAGAAAUGGUGACCACAUCGAAAGUAGGCAGCAGGCAUGCAAAUUACCCAAUCCUAACACAAGGAGGUAGUGACAAUAAAUAACAAUACCAACCUUUAUAAGUCUAGUAAUUGGAAUUAAUGCAAUCUAAAUCCCUUAACAAGGAUCCAUUGAAGGGCAAGUUUGGUGCUAAUAGCGAUGGUAAUUCCAACUUAAAUAGCAUAUAUUUAAGUUGUCAUAGUUAAAAAACUCAUAGUUAGAGCUAGGGUUGGGUCAUCCGGUCUAUCUUACGAUGAGCAUCGAUCUACUCAUCCCUACUAUUGCCAAUGCAUUUUGGCCUUAACUGGCUGGGUCAUUCCUCCAGCACUGUUACUUUAAAAAAAUUAGAGUGUUCAAAGUAGGCCUAUGCUUUUAUACAUUAACGUGGAAUAACAUCAUAAGAUUUCGGUAUUAUUAUGUUAGCCUUUGGGAUUGGAGUAAUGAUUAACAAAGAUAGCCAGAGGCAUUUGUAUUUCAUAGUUAGAGGUGAAAUUCUUGGAUUUAUGAAAAAUGAACAGCUACAAAAGCAUUUGCCAAGGAUGUUUUCCUUAAUCAAGAAUGAAAGUUGGGGGUUAAAAAUGAUCAGAUAUCAUUUUAGUCUAAACCAUAAAUGAUGUUGACUAAGGAUUGACAGAUGUUACUUUUAGGACUCCACCAACACCUUAUGACAAAUCAAAGUCUUUGACGGAAAACUUCCACUAAGAGUGGAGCCUAUAGCUUAAUUUGACUCAACAUGAGAAAACUUACCAAGUCUAGACAUAGUAAGGAUUGACAAACUAAGAGCUCUUUCUUGAUUCUAUAGGUGGUGGUGCAUGGCUAUUCUUAGUUUAAGAAAUGAUUUGUCUGGUUAAUUUCAUUAACAAAUGAGAUCUUAGCAUGCUAACUAGCUACGCAAAGGUGAUCCUUUACGGCUAGCUUUUUAGAGGGACUAUGGCCACUUGGGCCAAGGAAGUUUUGAAGCAAUAACAGGUUUGUGAUGCCUUUAGAUGUUCUAGGCCUCACGCUUGCUACACUAAUGUAUUCAACGAGCUUAUAACCUUGGCUAUAAGCCCAAGUAAUCUUUGAAAUUUUAUCAUGAUGGGGAUAGAUCAUUGCAAUUGUUGGUCUUCAAUAAGGAAUUCCUAGUACGCAUGAGUCAUCAGCUUACAUUGACUAUGUCACUGCCCAUUGUACAUACCACCCAUCACUCUUACUAAAUGAAUGGUCUGGUGAAGUGUUUGGAUCAUGGCAAUGUGGAUGGUUCACUGCCCGUGAUGUCAUCAAAAGUCUAUUGAACCUUAUCAUUUAGAGGAAGGAUCAUUGU
rnacentral:rRNA from 1 species